GUCAGUGGAAAGAAUUUGAACAUCACAGCAAACUAAGUGCAUGUAUCUUUUAUGCCUUCUGCCUAAAUUCCCUUGAAAAGAAAAAAGAUACUUUAAAAUGUAUAAAUCUAUAGUAAUGCUGAGCAGCAAGAAAUAGUGCCAGAAGUGUAAGAAAAAUAUUAAACAAUUCUUAACAAGAGAAAGCAGACAGGACUGGAUUGGCAAUCAGCAAGACUAAGAAAAGUCUCAUGAAGAUGUGGUGUUGGAAAGAGCUGCUGUGGAACUGGGGAUAUUGUGAGAUGUACCUCAGCAUCAUAAUCAGAAGGGUUCUUCAGGGCUCUAUGAGGCUUAUUUGAGAAAAUAUCUUUAGGGAAGCUGGGAAAACCAGCAUCUCUCCUCUUGUGCUAUUCUGCUAAGCUGAGUGCAGCCAUCACAUUGGCACACAAGCUAAGGCAGCCAGUCCUGGAGCCCUAAAGCCACCCAGUCCUGGAGCCCUAUAGGCCGGGCUAUUCAGCAGGUCAUCGAUGGUCAAGAGUGAAGAACUCUCUUCCAGGAGGACACCUCUCAGGAGAUAAACCAUGGUCAUGCCACUUCUGACAGCAUAUAGCAUUCCUCUGCCCAAAUCACAAAAGGCCCAGCAGGAGCUAAGAGUGGAGCACAGAAUUACUUGGGCACCCAGCAGGACACAGACCUUCUACCUCCAUAGAAGCUUCCAUGAACACUGCAGCAGCAGAAGAGAGGGCUGGGUGGUAUUACGGCAAUUAAGUGCUCCCAUCUAA
rnacentral:lncRNA from 1 species